rnacentral:rRNA from 1 species
UGCAAGUCGAACGAGCUGGAGCAUCCAGUCAAGUGGCGAACGGGUGAGUAACGCGUAGGAAUCUGCCCCGAACUGGGAAAUACCCAGCCGAAAGGUUGGCUAAUGUCCCAUAGUCCCGCAAGGGUAAAGGCGUAAGCCGGUUUGGGAGGAGCCUGCGUCCUAUCAGCUAGUUGGUGGGGUAAUGGCCUACCAAGGCUCUGACGGGUAGCUGGUCUGAGAGGAUGGUCAGCCACAAUGGGACUGAGACACGGCCCAUACACCUACGGGUGGCAGCAGUUGGGAAUCGUUCACAAUGGACGCAAGUCUGAUGACGCAAUGCCGCGUGAAGGAAGAAGGCUUUCGGGUUGUAAACUUCUUUUCUCUGGGACGAUUAUGACGGUACCAGAGGAAUAAGGGCCUGCUAACUACGUGCCAGCAGCCGCGGUAAUACGUAGGGCCCGAGCGUUAUCCGGUAUUAUUGGGCGUAAAGAGUACGUAGGCGGUUAGAAAAGACAAUGGUUAAAGCUCCGAGCUCAACUCGGAAAUCGCCGUUGUGACUCUCUAACUAGUCGGUAGCAGGGGCAAGCGGAAUUGUCGGUGUAGGAGUGAAAUCCGUUGAGAUCGACAAGAACACCAAUGGCGAAGGCAGCUUGCUAGGCUAUUUGAGACGCUGAGGUACGAAAGCGUGGGUAGCGAACGGGAUUAGAUACCCCGGUAGUCCACGCCGUAAACUAUGCACACUAGCUAUCAGAAGUAUCGACCCUUCUUGUAGCGUAGCUAACGCGUUAAGUGUGCCGCCUGGGAAGUACGGUCGCAAGACUAAAACUCAAAGGAAUUGACGGGGGAUCGCACAAGCGGUGGAGCAUGUGGUUUAAUUCGACGAUACCGGAGAACCUUACCAGGGUUUGACAUCUACGGAAAGUCCUGGAAACAGGACCGUGCCCGCAAGGGA